AAUCAACGCUGGCGGCGCGCUUAACACAUGCAAGUCGAGCGAGAAAGGGGAGCAAUCCCUGAGUACAGCGGCGUACGGGUGAGUAACACGUGGGUGAUCUACCUUCUAGUGUGGAAUAACCCUGGGAAACCGGGGCUAAUACCGCAUAAGCCUGUGAAGGGAAGGCAGCAAUGCGCUGGAAGAGGAGCCCGCGGCCGAUUAGCUAGUUGGUGAGGUAACGGCCCACCAAGGCGAUGAUCGGUAGCCGGCCUGAGAGGGCACACGGCCACACUGGCACUGAAACACGGGCCAGACUCCUACGGGAGGCAGCAGUGGGGAAUCUUGCACAAUGGAGGCAACUCUGAUGCAGCGACGCCGCGUGAGCGAUGAAGCCCUUC
rnacentral:rRNA from 1 species